AAACCCGAGUAUAGAUUCGGGGAUCAGGUUACCUAUUGGGAAGGUACCUUUAAAAGGUAGCACCCCUCUAAGCCCUAUAAAGGUCUCUACUAACUAAGUUAAGGGGAAUGUGGCAAUUAAUCGGCUAAUUAUGGAUACCUAAGUAGGCUAGGUGGUUCCAAAAAAUAGCAUGCCAAACAAGAUCAAAUUACAAUAAAGGAAGGUUAGGAUACGUACCCGGACCACUUCUCAAG
rnacentral:lncRNA from 1 species